rnacentral:rRNA from 1 species
GACGAACGCUGGCGGCGUGCUUAACACAUGCAAGUCGAACGGAAAGGCCCUGCUUUUGUGGGGUGCUCGAGUGGCGAACGGGUGAGUAACACGUGAGUAACCUGCCCUUGACUUUGGGAUAACUUCAGGAAACUGGGGUUAAUACCAGAUAGGAGCUCCUGCUGCAUGGUGGGGGUUGGAACGUCGCGGCGGUCGGGGAUGGACUCGCGGCUUAUCAGCUUGCUGGUGGGGUAGUGGCUUACCAAGGAUUUGACGGGUAGUCGGCCUGUGAGGGUGACCGGCCACAUUGGGACUGAGAUACGGCCCAGAGUCCUACGGGAGGCAGCAGGGGGGAAUAUUGCACAAUGGGCGGAAGCCUGAUGCAACAGCGCCGCGUGCGGGAUGACGUCCUUCUGGGUGUAAACCGCUGUCGCCUAUGACGAAGCGUGUGUGACGGUAAUGGAUAAAGAAGCACCGGCUAACUACGUG